rnacentral:rRNA from 1 species
CGCUAUCACUCCUACGGGGAGGCAGCAGUAGGGAAUCUUCACAAUGGGCGCAAGCCUGAUGGAGCAACACCGCGUGAGUGAAGAAGGGUUUCGGCUCGUAAAGCUCUGUUAGUUAAGAAGAACACGUAUGAGAGUAACUGUUCAUACGUUGACGGUAUUUAACCAGAAAGUCACGGCUAACUACGUGCCAGCAGCCGCGGUAAUACGUAGGUGGCAAGCGUUAUCCGGAUUUAUUGGGCGUAAAGAGAGUGCAGGCGGUUUUCUAAGUCUGAUGUGAAAGCCUUCGGCUUAACCGGAGAAGUGCAUCGGAAACUGGAUAACUUGAGUGCAGAAGAGGGUAGUGGAACUCCAUGUGUAGCGGUGGAAUGCGUAGAUAUAUGGAAGAACACCAGUGGCGAAGGCGGCUACCUGGUCUGCAACUGACGCUGAGACUCGAAAGCAUGGGUAGCGAACAGGAUUAGAUACCCUGGUAG